GAUGAAGAACGCAGCGAAAUGCGAUAAGUAGUGUGAAUUGCAGAAUUCAGUGAAUCAUCGAAUCUUUGAACGCACAUUGCGCCCUGUGGUAUUCCGCAGGGCAUGCCUGUUCGAGCGUCAUUUCAACCCUCAAGCUCCGCUUGGUGUUGGGCCCUGCCCCCGCGGCCGGCCCCAAAGACAGUGGCGGCGCCGCUUGGCCCUAAGCGUAGUACAUCUCUCGCUCUAGGACCCGGCGGUGGCCUGCCAGAACCCCCAACUCAUGUGGUUGACCUCGGAUCAGGUAGGGAUACCCGCUGAACUUAAGCAUAUCAAUAAGCGGAGGA
rnacentral:misc_RNA from 1 species